rnacentral:rRNA from 1 species
GACGAACGCUGGCGGCGUGCUUAACACAUGCAAGUCGAACGGAAAGGCCCUGCUUUUGUGGGGUGCUCGAGUGGCGAACGGGUGAGUAACACGUGAGUAACCUGCCCUUGACUUUGGGAUAACUUCAGGAAACUGGGGCUAAUACCGGAUAGGAGCUCCUGCUGCAUGGUGGGGGUUGGAAAGUUUCGGCGGUUGUGGAUGGACUCGCGGCUUAUCCGCUUGUUGGUGGGGUAGUGGCUUACCAAGGCUUUGACGGGUAGCCGGCCUGAGAGGGUGACCGGCCACAUUGGUACUGAGAGACGGCCCAGACUCCUACGGGAGGCAGCAGUGGGGAAUAUUGCACAAUGGGCGGAAGCCUGAUGCAGCAACGCCGCGUGCGGGAUGACGGCCUUCGGGUUGUAAACCGCUUUCGCCGGUGACGAAGCGUGAGUGACGGUAAUGGGUAAAGAAGCACCGGCUAACUACGUG